UACGUAGGGAGCCAGCGUUGUCCGGAUUUACUGGGCGUAAAGAGCGCGUAGGCGGUUUUGUAAGCGGAGGGUGAAAUCUCGGGGCUCAACUCCGAGGCUGCUUUCCGAACUGCAAGACUAGAGUACGGGAGAGGAUAGUGGAAUUCCUGGUGUAGCGGUGGAAUGCGUAAAUAUCAGGAGGAACACCCGUGGCGAAGGCUGCUAUCUGGAACGUAACUGACGCUGAGGCGCGAAAGCUAGGGGAGCGAACGGG
rnacentral:rRNA from 1 species